GACAGGGUGGUGGUUCCUGAGGGUUUGUGCUAUGGGGAUGGAGCUGCUCCGCGAAGGGGCUGUGGGCUGUGCCCAGCGGGAGGAGGGCGCUGCUGCUGGGAGUUCAGGAUGAGGCAGGUGGGGUUCAGCUGCUUUUCAGCAAUGCGAUUGACAGGUAAGUUGUUUGCCCCAGGUGUGGGACCACCAGGAAUAUUAAGGCGGGGAUUUUAGGGAGAGGACACACGACAUGGGAUGGACACGAUGCUGUUCCUCCAAGUGAGGUGUCUGGCGGGGUAGUGCAGUAACACCUAUUCCUCCUCUGGUGUCCUUUGCCUGGAUGUUGCCUGGCUGCUUGUUGCCCAGAGUGAAUUUUAUAGAGGUUAUUUGGUUUUCCACUCUCUUAGAUGCAUCCCUAGAUGAAUAAAUGCUACACUGCUGGGAAGUAGCUAAUUACCUUUCUCUGAUGGUGGCAGAGGGGUAGUUUCAUAUGGCCUAAAUGAAGUUUACAAUACCUUCAUGUGAUUCUGCCUUUUUUCACAUCACCAUAGGUACCUGAGAACCAAGGACACCAUUGCAACUUUGGGCCCAAAAUGUGUAAACAACAGCGAAUUGAGGAGAGCAAUCUGG